rnacentral:pre_miRNA from 1 species
GAGACACCCUUAUGGAACAGGACUUGCUUCGGUGGAGCUUUGGUGUUCACUGAGUCUCCUCCUUGAGUGUGUCACU